GACGAACGCUGGCGGCGUGCUUAACACAUGCCAGUCGAACGGAAAGGCCCUGCUUGCAGGGUACUCGAGUGGCGAACGGGUGAGUAACACGUGGGUGAUCUGCCCUGCACUUCGGGAUAAGCCUGGGAAACUGGGUCUAAUACCGGAUAGGAGCCAUUUUUAGUGUGAUGGUUGGAAAGUUUUUUCGGUGUAGGAUGAGCUCGCGGCCUAUCAGCUUGUUGGUGGGGUAAUGGCCUACCAAGGCGGCGACGGGUAGCCGGCCUGAGAGGGUGGACGGCCACAUUGGGACUGAGAUACGGCCCAGACUCCUACGGGAGGCAGCAGUGGGGAAUAUUGCACAAUGGGCGCAAGGCUGAUGCAGCGACGCCGCGUGGGGGAUGACGGCCUUCGGGUUGGAAACUCGUUUCGCUAGGGACGAAGCUUUUUGUGACGGUACCUAGAUAAGAAGCACCGGCUAACUACGUG
rnacentral:rRNA from 1 species